rnacentral:lncRNA from 1 species
CCCUCGCCAUUAUUUCAUCAUUACCACGACGGCUACCAUAAGAGUUGAAGUCCUUCCGGUCCACACCACGCUCCAUCAAAUACUUGGCAGCAGGACUGUCUUUGUGUAUGCUUCCUGCAGGUGAAAUGUGAUCUGUAGUAAUGCUGUCCCCGAAGUUCAGCAAGCAGUAUGCAUCUUUCACUGCAGAGGGACCGGGUGGGGACAUGGUCAUGUCCUUAAAGUACGGGGGUUCAUGAAUGUAAGUGGAUUUGGAAUCCCAUGAAUACAGUGACGCUUCUGGGACAGUUAACUGGUUCCACAUUGGGUUGCCUUUUGUGAUAGCCUCAUAGGUGCCC